rnacentral:tRNA from 1 species
GGAUGGGUGGCCGAGUGGUUUAAGGCAACGGUCUUGAAAACCGUCGUGGGUGCAAGCUCACCGUGGGUUCGAAUCCCACCCCAUCCGCCA